AUUGAACGCUGGCGGCAGGCCUAACACAUGCAAGUCGGACGGUAGCACAGAGGAGCUUGCUCCUCGGGUGACGAGUGGCGGACGGGUGAGUAAUGUCUGGGAAACUGCCCGAUGGAGGGGGAUAACUACUGGAAACGGUAGCUAAUACCGCAUAACGUCGCAAGACCAAAGUGGGGGACCUUCGGGCCUCACACCAUCGGAUGUGCCCAGAUGGGAUUAGCUGGUAGGCGGGGUAACGGCCCACCUAGGCGACGAUCCCUAGCUGGUCUGAGAGGAUGGCCAGCCACACUGGAACUGAGACACGGUCCAGACUCCUACGGGAGGCAGCAGUGGGGAAUAUCGCACAAUGGGCGCAAGCCUGAUGCAGCCAUGCCGCGUGUAUGAAGAAGGCCUUCGGGUUGUAAAGUACUUUCAGCGGGGAGGAAGGUGCUGAGGUUAAUAAGCUCAGCAAUUGACGUUGCCCGCAGAAGAAGCACCGGCUAACUCCGUGCCAGCCGCCGCAGUAA
rnacentral:rRNA from 1 species